CUAAAAGAUGGCGACCGGCGCACGGGUGAGUAACGCGUAUCCAACCUGCCGAUAACUCGGGGAUAGCCUUUCGAAAGAAAGAUUAAUACCCGAUGGUAUAAUCAGACCGCAUGGUUUGAUUAUUAAAGAAUUUCGGUUAUCGAUGGGGAUGCGUUCCAUUAGGCAGUUGGUGAGGUAACGGCUCACCAAACCUUCGAUGGAUAGGGGUUCUGAGAGGAAGGUCCCCCACAUUGGAACUGAGACACGGUCCAA
rnacentral:rRNA from 1 species